GCGGUAAUACGGAGGAUGCGAGCGUAAUCCGGAAUCAUUGGGUUUAAAGGGUCUGUAGGCGGGCUAGUAAGUCAGAGGUGAAAGCGCUUAGCUCAACUAAGCAACUGCCUCUGAAACUGUUGGUCUUGAAUGGUUGUGAAGUAGUUGGAAUGUGUAGUGUAGCGGUGAAAUGCUUAGAUAUUACACAGAACACCGAUAGCGAAGGCAUAUUACUAACAAUUAAUUGACGCUGAUGGACAAAAGCGUGGGGAGCGAACAGGAUUAGAUACCCUGGUAGUCCACGCUGUAAACGAUGGAUACUAGCUGUUUGGAGCGAUCUGAGUGGCUAAGCGAAAGUGAUAAGUAUCCCACCUGGGGAGUACGUUCGCAAGAAUGAAACUCAAAGGAAUUGACGGGGGCCCGCACAAG
rnacentral:rRNA from 1 species